GAAGAAGAAGGGUGGAGUCUGGGGAGUCCUGAGCCAGACUUGGAAGAAGCAACAUGGGAAGUUCAUAAAUGAGAGGCAGCUGUUGGGAGGAGCCUAUUUGCACACGCAUCUUACUGCACGCUUCAUGAUGGUUCUCCACAAGGAGCUCAGGCUGACCUAAUUGGAGAGGACUCCGCUGCCAGGCAGAAGCCACCAGAAUCUUGGCUACAAAUGCCACAGGACCUGACACUUUCCCUUCCUACUAAAGUCCUUUCAACUUUCUAAUCAUCAAUGCAAAACCAGAAAGGGCUGCAUGUUGACCACCCCAGCCUCACCCUUGGGUGUUUCUGGAUGGACGGACAUACUAGUUGUUCUGCAAAAGCUCCCCUUGCCCUACGCUCUCACUGGCGCAGCUUUAGGUAAUUCCCAGGCGGAGCCCUUGUAUUGGGUCAGGACUCUGCAGGGGAACAGAAUCAACAGGAUGAGUGCAUGCUAAUAGGGGAUUUAGUGAUGGCUUAUACAAUACAAUCAGAGAAGCCCCUCAAUGGCCUUCUCACACCAUGGGGGCCAAAUGCCUGGUCCUCUCUUGGUGUGUGUAGCUGAGCGCCUCAGCAGUUCUAAUCUGGCUCCAACGUGGAGGAUUCCUGGAGAGCAGACACUGUUCACUCUGCAUUGAAGACUGAAGAUGUCUGGCUGAGUAUCAGCCAGCCAAGGCAUCAGUGGCGGUGGCUGCAGAGUGGAUGAGCUCGCCAGCAAGAGUAAAGAUUGAGUGAGCAAAGAAGCCAAAACUUUCCUCCUCCAAGUCCCCUUAUCUGACUGUUACCUAAAAACAUUGCCAAUGCUUAGGCUGGGUCUUCCCACAUCAGCAAGAGGUAUCAAGACAGACCCCCCACGGACAGGGUCACAGGCCAACUUAAUCAAAAGGGCUCCUUGCUGAGGCUCUUUUCGAGUUGUUCUAAGUUUUGUCAAAGUGACAAAGCAGCCACCACAGCCUUCUUCCACGAACGCUUGCGCAAAAGCUUACCUGCUGAAGGGCGGUGGUAAGGAAGCAUUGCAAGUCUUUGCUUCCCAUAAUUAAAUCAUUGUACUUCUAUAAAUGCUGGAAACUUGGCUUGCAGAAUAAAAACUUUCUGUAACUAA